rnacentral:lncRNA from 1 species
UAGUCCCAGACAGUCAGUGCGGAUUGUUACUCCGUGCGCUAUGGCUCCCAGUGAUGGGAAAUGUAGUCACAGACAGUCAGUGCGGAUUGUUACUCCAAGCGCUAUGGCUCCCAGUGAUGGGAAAUGUAGUCACAGACAGUCAGUGCGGAUUGUUACUCCGUGCGCUAUGGCUCCCAGUGAUGGGAAAUGUAGUCCCAGACAGUCAGUGCGGAUUGAUACUCCGUGCGCUGUGGCUCCCAGUGAUGGGAAAUGUAGUCCCAGACAGUCAGUGCGGAUUGUUACUCCGUGCGCUAUGGCUCCCAGUGAUGGGAAAUGUAGUCACAGACAGUCAGUGCGGAUUGUUACUCCAUGCGCUAUGGCUCCCAGUGAUGGGAAAUGUAGUCACAGACAGUCAGUGCGGAUUGUUACUCCGUGCGCUAUGGCUCCCAGUGAUGGGAAAU